GUUGACACUAGAUCCCGUACGAUCACCGGUUAAGCAUCAUCGAGCGUAGUCAGUACCUAGAUGGGUGACCGAUUGGGAAUACCAGGUGCUGUAAG